AGUAAUGCUUAGGAAUCUGCCUAUUAGUGGGGGACAACAUUCCGAAAGGAAUGCUAAUACCGCAUACGCCCUACGGGGGAAAGCAGGGGAUCUUCGGACCUUGCGCUAAUAGAUGAGCCUAAGUCAGAUUAGCUAGUUGGUGGGGUAAAGGCCUACCAAGGCGACGAUCUGUAGCGGGUCUGAGAGGAUGAUCCGCCACACUGGGACUGAGACACGGCCCAGACUCCUACGGGAGGCAGCAGUGGGGAAUAUUGGACAAUGGGCGCAAGCCUGAUCCAGCCAUGCCGCGUGUGUGAAGAAGGCCUUUUGGUUGUAAAGCACUUUAAGCGAGGAGGAGGCUACUUGGAUUAAUACUCUAGGAUAGUGGACGUUACUCGCAGAAUAAGCACCGGCUAACUCUGUGCCAGCAGCCGCGGUAAUACAGAGGGUGCGAGCGUUAAUCGGAUUUACUGGGCGUAAAGCGUGCGUAGGCGGCUUUUUAAGUCGGAUGUGAAAUCCCUGAGCUUAACUUAGGAAUUGCAUUCGAUACUGGGAAGCUAGAGUAUGGGAGAGGAUGGUAGAAUUCCAGGUGUAGCGGUGAAAUGCGUAGAGAUCUGGAGGAAUACCGAUGGCGAAGGCAGCCAUCUGGCCUAAUACUGACGCUGA
rnacentral:rRNA from 1 species